rnacentral:lncRNA from 1 species
GGAAGGUUUGUAAAAAGGGCGGCCAAUUUUAAUUUGCACGUGGGCGGCCGACUGUCUAGGAUCGGCACUGGGCUGACCACCUCCGUAAAGGGGUCAGCCGAAUGGUGGAAGACGGGGAUGGACGGGCCGAGCCUGGAUCCCAUGAUAAAUAUUUUCAAAGGGUGGGAUCCGAGAUUCGAACCGGAUCCUCCAGAGCGGAAAGCCGAAGCGUUUCCACGCGGCCAAUCCGGCCGACUUACUCGGACCUUCUGGCCACUCCAGCUGACUUCUAUCCAGAGACCUCGGGUUGGUUACAGCUGGACCACCAAACAAAUUCCACCCAAUUCGUUCUUACCCCGAGGUGGUUAGGGUGGCCGUAUCCGUGAGCGGCUUUAGGCGCCAUCCACCCUAUCCAGCGGUUGCAUCUGGCUCCGGUCAAAUAUUUCUGCACGGUUGGUCAUCGACCCGUUGACACUAAAGGCAGAUUUGCACCGAGCGCAACCGUUAAAGCCGCAAAUAUUUUUCGCGGUGUAGAAAUGUGUGCGGCAGAACGUGACGUCACCCAAUGCCG